rnacentral:lncRNA from 1 species
CACUCCCCAAGUCCCGUAACUAAUACGGUUGCAUACUCGAUCAAGUUGGCUUCUAAAAAUAUUCAAUUGAAGUAGAAAGCACAGAAAGGGAAAAUAUACACACAAAAGGUUCGAGGUCGUCCCCACCUAAAUAAAAGAAAAAGAAAAAUGAAAAUAAAGUGAAAAUACUAUAAGUUCUACUAUCAAUCUCCAAAUACAAAUACUUCGAGGCAUACCCCGGAAUAAAAUAUAUACAAAUCCUUCGGGGAAUUCCCCGAAUAAAUUUAACUAAGGGAACAACCUCUCGCCUCGAAACGAACAAAAUCCUAAGGCUUGCCUACCCAAGUGUGGUCGGCCUAAGCAUGCUCCUAACGGACAAUGUAAUAGAAGUAAAAUAAGUAAAACUAAAGAGAUAAAAAUUAACUUCAAGCUCACUUCCUUUUAACCGUCCAUCUCCAUUCCCACGCAACAAAUAAACAAGUUACUGCUAACUGAACGAGUAGGAAGCAUAAGCAUUCAAACAAUGAAAGCACUUAAAGCAAAUGAGAAUUGCAAUAGAGAAUUCUAAUAAAACAAUGCUAUUUCACUCAUGAAGACUCUUAAUAUAAUUAACGAGACUUCCUAAUCCCUUCACUCUUUGCAAGUUGUUUAUUUACAAAAGAGCUUUUAAUCAUGACUUGAACCACAGAGGCAUUCCAAGCAUCCAAACACAAUAUUAAAGCUUUUAAAACUACUGUAAAACUAAAACUAAGGACGAAAAUCUACAAGUAGGUUGACCUCCCCUGCCUCGAACAUUUAAAGAUCAUAAAUAUAUACAUAAUCCAACUCAGUGAACUAAUUUACAUAGAUUUUAAACACUUAAACAAGAGAGAGUUGUGAACCAUAUGAAUCCAUUUGCCAUGAUGGUGAACUUGAAGUCCUUUGAAUGAAAUUACAAAAUCUAACACCAAAUAAUCCACAGGUUCGAACUAUUUGAGCUUUCUAAGUGACGUAACUUUAAUCUGUUUUUACUUCUCGUAUUUUCCAUACAUACAUACUUUUUCACUAAAUUCAAAUCAUAGGAUAAAGGAAACAUCCAUGACCAGAAUAUGAAAUUGUGCUAAUUUACUAAUAACAUGAAAUAAGUUUCAACAGUAAUCGAGUCUAACCUCAUUAGAAUUGUCAUAUCUCAUCCCAAUAUUUACCAUUUUUGCAGGUUUAAUCUUCAAAAUCAAGAUAUCCGUUCAACUUGCCAUAUUAGAUCCUUAUAAAAGACUUCUAGCAGUGAUUGAGCCAUUCAAAUUUGCAAACUAGCACACACUUUCAAGCUCAUUUUUGACUAGAAAAAAGUAGCAGAAAAGAUUUAAGCGAGAACAAACCAAUAACAUGAUCAUCACCAAAGAGAAACACAAUUCACAACAGAAAUAAAAGAAAGGAAUAGAAAUGAACCUGUUAAGCUGAAAUCCUUCUAAAUAACAAUGGAAAAAUCAGCAAAUACACACUCCUCGAAUCGAAAGAAAAUCCGACGAGAAACAGCAAGCAAAAUCGAAUGACGGAACCAGAACUCGAACGACGAACACGACUCCGACCUCGAACAAACUCGAAUGGCGAACGAAUCUUGGCUCAAUCAACCUCCAUGUUGAAGCCGAAACCAAAAGAAGAAACUAAAAUAUUUUUUGGGAUAUUUUCUGAUUUUUUAAAAUGGAGACAAGUUGAAACAAAAAUCUAAACUCAAACUAUUUUUUUGGUAUUUUUGUUUUUCUGGAAUUUGAACUCAACUGAAAAUGGACCAAAAUGAGAAGAAAAGAAGAAACUCCCUCUUAAAACCCAAAUUUCUUUCCAAACCCUUUUCUCCAAAUUCUCUCCCAAAUUUCUGUCCCAAAAACCUCAAAUAUAUAUAGCAGCCCUAGAAACUUCCUCCUCCUCUCCAAGAAAACUCGUGUGGCCCCCAACAAGAUCCGAAAAUCCCACUUUUAACAAAAAUCAGAAAAUGGAAGUCUUGGAUCAAAAUUUUAAUCCAACGGCUCCCAAUUUCCAACAUUUAUCUCAAGGAUUCGAAUUUUUUGUUUAAACAAAAGAAAUAAAAGAAGAAAUCUACGUGAAUCGAAUUGAAAUGAUGAGAUUUGGUACAAUUUGAGUGACGUGGAAGAAGGAGAGGAAAGUAGGAGGGCCAGUGAGUGAACUCGACGGGUUUGGUGAGUUUUCCGGCGAGUUUGGGUAGCUUAGAGGUGGGCUGAAGCUUGAGAGGUUGGGAUGCGCCGUUUGGGUGUUCU